ACUGGUUAUACUGCUAGUAGUGGCCCCCCAUUGCCCCAAACCUUCACCAAGGACUGCUAUCUUUCCGCCGUGCUGGCCAUGGGAUGAACCGUCGUCCUGCAAUCUCUAUGGGUUUAUAAUCCACCCUUUGUGGGAGAAAGCAUAAUGACGCUUCCAGAUAAGGUCCCAUAGUAGCGGUAACAAAUGGUAAGGAAGGAGCUUGCGGGAACGGACUCAUACUCCAUCGUUAUCAGCAGCAGUUAGAAGCGUCAAUCCUAGAGCUGCGGGGCCCCAGGUCUGUGGAUUGGCUUGACAUUCGCGGGAAAGGGCAAGGGAAGUCACGUCACGUGUGCUU
rnacentral:lncRNA from 1 species